CUACGGGACGCAGCAGUGAGGAAUAUUGGUCAAUGGGCGCGAGCCUGAACCAGCCAUCCCGCGUGCAGGAUGACGGCCCUAUGGGUUGUAAACUGCUUUUCUAUGCCAAGAAACCCUGUUACGAGUAACAGGUUGCCGGUAGCAUAGGAAUAAGCAUCGGCUAACUCCGUGCCAGCAGCCGCGGUAAUACGGAGGAUGCAAGCGUUAUCCGGAUUCAUUGGGUUUAAAGGGUGCUCAGGUGGGCUUGUAAGUCAGUGGUGAAAUGCUGCCGCUUAACGGUAGAACUGCCAUUGAUACUGCGAGUCUUGAGUAUGGUUGAGGUAGGCGGAAUGUGUUGUGUAGCGGUGAAAUGCAUAGAUAUGACACAGAACGCCAAUUGCGAAGGCAGCUUACUAAGCCAUUACUGACGCUGAGGCACGAAAGCGUGGGGAGCGAACAGGAUUAGAUACCCCUGUAGUC
rnacentral:rRNA from 1 species